GCAGAGAUGGCUCAGUGGUUAAGAGCACUGGCUGCUCUUCAAGAGGAUCUGGGUUCAAUUCCCAGUUCCCCCU
rnacentral:tRNA from 1 species